AAUAUUGGACAAUGGGGGCAACCCUGAUCCAGCCAUGCCGCUUGUGUGAAGAAGGUCUUCGGUUUGUAAAGCACUUUAAGUUGGGAGGAAGUCCUUUAGGUUAAUACCCUGAAGUUUUGACGUUACCAACAGAAUAAGCACCGGCUCACGCUGUGCCAGCAGCCGCGGGAAUACAGAGGGUGCAAGCGUUAAUCGGAAUUACUGGGCGUAAAGCGCGCGUAGGUGGUUCAGUAAGAUGGGUUUGAAAUCCCCGGGCUUAGCCUGGGAACUGCUUUCAUAUCUGCUGAGCUAGAGUACGGUAGAGGGUAGUGGAAUUUCCUGUGUAGCGGUGAAAUGCGUAGAUAUAGGAAGGAACACCAGUGGCGAAGGCGACUACCUGGACUGAUACUGACACUGAGGUGCGAAAGCGUGGGGAGCAAA
rnacentral:rRNA from 1 species